rnacentral:rRNA from 1 species
UACAGAGGUCUCAAGCGUUGUUCGGAUUCAUUGGCGUAAAGGGUGCGUAGGUGGCGCUGUAAGUCGGGUGUGAAAUUUCGGAGCUUAACUCCGAAACUGCAUCGAUACUGCGGUGCUUGAGGACUGGAGAGGAGACUGGAAUUCAUGGUGUAGCAGUGAAAUGCGUAGAGAUCAUGAGGAACACCAGUAGCGAAGGCGGCACCCUGGGCCGGUACUGACGCUGAGGAGCGAAAGCGUGGGAGCAAACAGG